CCCUUAGAUGUUCUGGGCUGCACGCGCGCUACACUGAUGCAUUCAACGAGCUUUCGAUCUUGCCCGAGAGGGUUGGAUAAUCUUUUUAAAGUGCAUCGUGAUGGGGAUAGAUUAUUGCAAUUAUUAAUCUUCAACGAGGAAUUCCUAGUAAGCGCGAGUCAUCAGCUUGCGUCGAUUACGUCCCUGCCCUUUGUACACACCGCCCGUCGCUCCUACCGAUUGGGUGUGCUGGUGAAAUGUUCGGAUCGGCCGUUUGUCGCGGUUUCCGCGUCAUGUGGCUGAGAAGUUCAUUAAACCCUCCCACCUAGAGGAAGGAGAAGUCGUAACA
rnacentral:rRNA from 1 species